GAUGAAGAACGCAGCGAAAUGCGAUAAGUAAUGUGAAUUGCAGAAUUCAGUGAAUCAUCGAAUCUUUGAACGCACCUUGCGCUCCAUGGUAUUCCGUGGAGCAUGCCUGUUUGAGUGUCAUGAAUACUUCAACCCUCCUCUUUCUUAAUGAUUGAAGAGGUGUUUGGUUUCUGAGCGCUGCUGGCCUUUACGGUCUAGCUCGUUCGUAAUGCAUUAGCAUCCGCAAUCGAACUUCGGAUUGACUUGGCGUAAUAGACUAUUCGCUGAGGAAUUCUAGUCUUCGGACUAGAGCCGGGUUGGGUUAAAGGAAGCUUCUAAUCAGAAUGUCUACAUUUUAAGAUUAGAUCUCAAAUCAGGUAGGACUACCCGCUGAACUUAAGCAUAUCAAUAAGCGGAGGA
rnacentral:misc_RNA from 1 species